GGCACCGUUUAAGUCAUAUUUCUGAUUAUGACCAACCUUCAUUUAAGUCUUUAGAAACAAUUUUAUAUGCUUCCUUUCACGUUUGUUUUAACAACUGGAAUUUUCAUUGCAGCCAUGCUGUUCUCAACCAUUCACACACUUUGUGCCUCAUUUAAUAUGCUUGUUUCUUAACCGGUUGCAAAGGAGGGUGAUGAGAAAUGGAAGCCUAUGACUGAUGAAGCCACUCUAAUAAGGGUUCAUGUUGUUCAAAACUUCAAAUCCAAUUGAGGCAAUCCAUGAACCAUUAGAAGCUGGGCUGAAACUUGCUCGAUAAGAGAUUGCUAAUCUGUAGGAUGAUAAUAAAGCAUUAGAUCGACUGAUAGUGUGAAACCAAUUGAUGUCUAUUAAUUAUAGACUGUUUUGAUCAGGAAAACAAUUUUCGUUAGGGUUUCAAAGUAGUAGUAACCAGCAAGAGAGAGGUUAUAUGGUAAGGUAGUUGGGCGACAAGAAGGGUUACGAGAGGUUUGACUGUCAUGACACAAUGGUCAAUUGUCACAUUGAAGGUUGAACUGGGUAUCUGCUAAGCAAAACUAACUGUUAAGCCUGUGGCGUAAGCUAGAAUUGGCACUGUGGCUUCUGGAGUUACAAAGGGUAAUGCUUAUACAUACAGAUUGAUUUAAUUGUUAUCAAAUGAGAUGGCACUCUAUAUGUUGGUAAACUGUGAAGAAACGAGAAUUAAGAGAUUUCCUAUACACGACGGGAAUUCGAUCGAUAUUGGUUUGGUCCGUUAGCAAACCGAAAGAAGAAACCAAAAAAUAAAGUUUUGAGAUGCCUCAAAAAGAUAUUGAUACGUGUUUACAUCGAUCACAAAGUAUAACAAAGGCCAACACCUGUUAUGAUAAUAUCGAUACUUGUACCGACGUCGUUCGGUCGACACUCGGUACAACUUACUUCAUUGUAAUUUAAUUUUUAUAUAAGUAAUAGAACGUUUCUUAUAUUUCAAAGUUUAUGCCAACACUGUUGAAUGAAACGUUUCUAAUAUAUAUGGUGUGUAUAUCAUGUAAAAUAAAGGUUAUGUAUAUACUUUAUUAUUUAUGUUCUGCUACUUCGAUUUCGUUAGUGAAAUGGGUUUUUUUAUUAAGUUUUGAAGUUUUUUU
rnacentral:lncRNA from 1 species